rnacentral:rRNA from 1 species
GUCUAUGGCCAUGCUUCCCUGAACGCACCUGAUGUCUAAUCUUGGAAGCUAAGCACGUCGGGCUGGUUCGUACUUGGAUGGGCUUUGAUUUUUGUGUUUAAUUGUUGUUUUGUGAUUCUAGACUCUCACAGACU